rnacentral:rRNA from 1 species
ACUCGAGUGGCGAACGGGUGAGUAACACGUGGGUGAUCUGCCUUGCACUUCGGGAUAAGCCUGGGAAACUGGGUCUAAUACCGGAUAGGACCAUGCUUUAGUGUGUGUGGUGGAAAGUUUUUCGGUGCAAGAUGAGCCCGCGGCCUAUCAGCUUGUUGGUGGGGUAAUGGCCUACCAAGGCUUUGACGGGUAGCCGGCCUGAGAGGGCGACCGGCCACAUUGGGACUGAGAUACGGCCCAG